GGGCCUGCCGCACGCUUCAGUUGCCGACAUGGCCUUCCUUCCGAUCCGGC
rnacentral:sRNA from 1 species